CCUACGGGAGGCAGCAGUGGGGAAUAUUGCACAAUGGGGGCAACCCUGAUGCAGCGAUGCCGCGUGUGUGAGGAAGUAGUUCGGUAUGUAAAGCUCUUUCAGCAGGGAAGAAAAUGACGGUACUUGUAUCAGAAGCAAUGGCCAACUUCGUGCCAGCAGCCGCGGUCAUACGGAGGGGGCAGUCGUUAUCCGGAUUUACUGGGUGUAAAGGGAGCGUAGACGGCUAAGCAAGUCAGAAGUGAAAACGCAGGGCUCAACUUUGGAACUGCUUCUGAAACUGAGUAGCUAGAGUGCAGGAGGGGUAAGCGGAAUUCCUGGUGUAGCGGUGAAAUGCGUAGAUAUUAGGAGGAACACCGGUGGCGAAGGCGGCUUCCUGGACUAUGACUGACGCUGAGGCGCGAAAGCGUGGGGAGCAAACAGGAUUAGAUACCCUAGUAGUC
rnacentral:rRNA from 1 species